UCUUCUUCUUCCGUAAAGAUGUCUGAACUCAGCCCUGGGAAUAGACCCAUCCUUUUACAAUGAAGAUUUUAAUGAAAUCGGUGAUGCCAGGAUUGUGUGGUAGUGAUCCUGAGCCAAUAAGUUAGGGGAAGAAACCAGUUGAUAAAUACAACUCUGGACUGAAAUGUUGUUGGUUCAUGCUCCAUUUUGUAUUCAUGGACCAGUCUAAUUACGGGAUACACCUAGUCUUAAUUGAUCUACUGAACCUCCGCUCCCAUCUUCUAGGCGACAAAAACUUCUUCAUUGGAUUUUUUUUUUUUUUUAACAUAAUUUCUUCUAGCUGUGGUUAAGAAAACUGAGGGUUUCGAUCCGAUACUAGUGAGUUCUAAUUGCAAUUACAUGCCUGUAUGUGUCUUGGUCUUUGUGUAAAUGUCUGGAUGAGGAGGCUGCACAACAAUAUGGCUUGCCCUGAAGGGCUGCGUGGGUUGCAUCUCUCUUCACCAUUCACUCUGCAGUAGGGAUGGCCUUGGGCGCUUGGCUGCCUUUUUCUUCAUUUACUUCAUUUCGUACUUGUUUGCUACUUUGCAUCAACGUCUUUAUUAAUCGAUUAUCUUUUCUUUUCCUUUCA